rnacentral:rRNA from 1 species
UACGUAGGUGACAAGCGUUGUCCGGAUUUACUGGGCGUAAAGAGCGCGCAGGCGGUCGAUCAAGUCGAGUGUGAAAGCCCCCGGCUCAACUGGGGAGGGUCAUUCGAUACUGAUCGACUCGAAGGCAGGAGAGGGUAGUGGAAUUCCCGGUGUAGUGGUGAAAUGCGUAGAUAUCUACAGGAACUCCGGUGGCGAAAGCGGCGCGCUGGACCUCUUCUGACGCUGAGGCGCGAAAGCUAGGGGAGCAAACGGG